rnacentral:rRNA from 1 species
AGUGAACGCUGGCGGUAGGCCUAACACAUGCAAGUCGAGCGGCAGCAGAGUAAUAGCUUGAUAGUACGGGGGGAGAGGGGCGGACGGGUGGGGCAUACAUGGGAAUUUACUUGAUCGUGGGGGAUAACGGAGGGAAACUGACGCAAAUACCGCAUACGACCUACGGGUGAAAGCAUGUAUUCUUCAAACCUUGCCCGAUUGAAUGAGCCGAUGUCGGAUUAGCUAGUUGGCGGGGUAAAGGCACACCAAGGCGACGAUACGUAGCUGGUCUGAGAGGAUGACCAGCCAAGCUAGACCUGCGACACGGUCCAGACUCCUAUGGGACGCAGCGGUGGAGAAUAUUGGACUAUGCGCGCAAGCCUGCUCCGGCCAUACCGCGUCGGUGAAGAAGUGCUUCGCGUUUUAGAGCUAUUCUGUUGGUAAAGAAGACCAGAACGUUGUUAUCCUGCUGUUUUGACGGUACCCAAAGAAUAAGCACCGGCUAACUCCGUG